rnacentral:rRNA from 1 species
GACGAACGCUGGCGGCGUGCUUAACACAUGCCAGUCGAACGGAAAGGCCCUGCUUUUGUGGGGUGCUCGAGUGGCGAACGGGUGAGUAACACGUGAGUAACCUGCCCUUGACUUUGGGAUAACUUCAGGAAACUGGGGCUAAUACCGGAUAGGAGCUCCUGCUGCAUGGUGGGGGUUGGAAAGUUUCGGCGGUUGGGGAUGGACUCGCGGCUUAUCAGCUUGUUGGUGGGGUAGUGGCUUACCAAGGCUUUGACGGGUAGCCGGCCUGAGAGGGUGACCGGCCACAUUGGGACUGAGAUACGGCCCAGACUCCUACGGGAGGCAGCAGUGGGGAAUAUUGCACAAUGGGCGGAAGCCUGAUGCAGCAACGCCGCGUGCGGGAUGACGGCCUUCGGGUUGUAGACCGCUUUCGCCUGUGACGAAGCGUGAGUGACGGUAAUGGGUAAAGAAGCACCGGCUAACUACGUG